rnacentral:lncRNA from 1 species
GGCUCGGCCUGGCCUCCUCCCCCCGCCCCGCCCCCGCCCGGCGAAACCCGAAGCCGCGAGUCCGAGUCCGCGGGCCCCGCCGCUCCGCACGGCCACCGAGACCCGCCCGGCCGGGGAGGGGACCCGCGCCCUCCCCAGAAACCCCGCCAAGUUUGUUUUCCAUUUCGGAGAGCGCCAGGGGAGGGCCACGCACUGCCGGCCUGCGACGCGGCGCCCCGCCGGCCGGGAGCGCAGAGCACGGGCCGAGGCCUUUCGUCCGGGCCCAGGUUUCUUCUCAGCCCUUGGCACAAUCAGAAACCGCGGCGUUUGCUUUCGCUUCCUGUUUUUGACAGGAGGUGGAACCACUGAGCUAAACCCUCGACUCCUCUCAUCUGUUAACGAAGCAAAAGGAGAGCUUAUCUUUGGUUCUGCUUUUGACCAUCUUACAGCUGUUCAGCCCUGCUCCUGUCUUCUCUGCUGUUCCACGCUGAGCAGGACCCGCCCUGGGAAUGAGGGCUGGUUAUCGGCUUGCUGCCCACAGCGUGUGGAACACGGAGAUGUCUCAGGGCUGGGAUGGCACUUUCUCACAUCGCUGUGACUCCUACGGUAAAAAAGGAAAAAGGGAACUCUUCAAUGCAGUUUUGAGCACCUGCUGUGUUCCUCAGCGAAUGCCUGCUGGGUGGUGAAUAAC